rnacentral:rRNA from 1 species
UACAGAGGUCUCAAGCGUUGUUCGGAUUCAUUGGGCGUAAAGGGUGCGUAGGCGGCGAGGUAAGUCGGAUGUGAAAUCCCGGGGCUCAACCCUGGAACUGCAUUCGAUACUGCCUUGCUCGAGGACUCGAGAGGAGAUUGGAAUUCACGGUGUAGCAGUGAAAUGCGUAGAUAUCGUGAGGAAGACCAGUGGCGAAGGCGGAUCUCUGGAGAGUUCCUGACGCUGAGGCACGAAGGCCAGGGGAGCAAACAGG